rnacentral:rRNA from 1 species
AACGAACGCUGGCGGCGUGCCUAACACAUGCAAGUCGUGCGAGAAAGUUCCUUCGGGAGCGAGUAAAGCGGCGCACGGGUGAGUAACACGUAGGUAACCUGCCCCCCAGUCUGGAACAACUAGAGGAAACUCUAGCUAAUGCCGGAUGAGACCACGAUCCCCUUCGGGGGUUGCGGCCAAAGAUGGCCUCUACUUGUAAGCUAUCGCUGAGGGAUGGGCCUGCGGGCCAUUAGCUUGUUGGUGAGGUAACGGCUCACCAAGGCUGUGAUGGCUAGCUGGUCUGAGAGGAUGACCAGCCACACUGGGACUGAGACACGGCCCAGACUCCUACGGGAGGCAGCAGUGGGGAAUAUUGCGCAAUGGGCGAAAGCCUGACGCAGCGACGCCGCGUGGGUGA